GAGUAGUAUUAGUUAAGUUCUUGAAACUCAAAUUAUUUGGCGGUGUUCUAUUCUUUUCARAGGAAUCUGUUCUAUAAUUGAUAAUACACGUUAUAAUAUACUUGAUUUUGUAUAUAUAUCAWUUUGUAUMCCUCCGUCAUARGAUUUUCUUUAUAGARAAUAWWUUUACUUAAUAUUAUGUUAAUAAAUAAUAUGUCRGGUCARGGUGCAGUUUAUAAUCAAGAAGAGAUGGAUUACWUUGAAUUUAUUUAUACGGAUUUUUGAUGAAWUUUUUUAAUGARGGKGGAUUUGAAUGUAAUAUUAUUAAAUUAUGAUAAUAUGACUUUAGCUCUGGAAUGUGUACAAAUCGCCCGUCKCUCUCGUUGUCAAGAAGAG
rnacentral:rRNA from 1 species